UGUAGUGUGAGGACUGAGGUAGAGGGAUUGAUCUUUUAUUCUUUUCUGGUGCUUCCUAAUGCUGAAGCCAAAAUGAAAGAGGAUUACAACAAUUGCAACUGGUAUAGUUAUAAUAAUAAUGUCCUUAUUAUAUGUAUUCUUCCAUUAGUAUGAUCAAUCUCUGUCGAGCAAAUACAAAAUAACUAUUUUUAAUUUUCUAUGAGAACUGUAGUACUUAAACUCUAUCCUAGCCAUUUAUUUGCAACCUUUUGCAGCAAAAAUAAUUGGCUGAGUUGUGCAGGUUAGGACCUUGCAUGAGGAG
rnacentral:misc_RNA from 1 species